rnacentral:lncRNA from 10 species
CCAGACCCUCCGGGAGCUGCCAGCGCAAAUUCCUUCGGCAGAGGACCCGCUCUGGGCAGGAGCAGGGUGGACGGUGUGGGCGCGCCCACGCCCCGGCGGGCAGUGCCAGGCAUCGGUGCGCCCGCGGAGGGGGCGGCCUAGAUAAGCAGACUCACCUCUCAGGAUUUAAUCCGAGAGACCUAGAAGAAAGUCCCCUGCUAGCUGGGGGCGAAGCAGGUCUUUCCCCAGGGAGUACUGAGGCCGGCUCUCUUGAGCCAUUCUCUUGACAGAGUGUGGAGGCAGAGGUGAGUGAGGAGGAGGAGAGAGGAGGAGAAGGGAGCAGGCCGAGCAGCAAAGAGGAGCAGAAACCCCAUACAGAGAGGGGAGAGAGAAUGAGAAUGAAUAUGGAUUAGUCAAGGGCUGACAUAACGAAACGCCACAGGCUGGGUGGCUUCAACAACAGAGAUUUAUUUCUCCUACUCCUGGGGCUGGAGGCCUGAUCUCAGGUGCCAGCAGGGUCCAGUUCUGGGAGGCCCUCUCCCUGGCCUGCAGGUAGCCACCUUCUUACAUGGUAGAGAAUGAG